rnacentral:rRNA from 1 species
GACAGAGGGUGCAAACGUUGUCCGGAUUUAUUGGGCGUAAAGCGCUCGUAGGCGGUCCGCUGCGUCGUGCGUGAAAGACCCCGGCUCAACUGGGGGAUGUCGUGCGAUACGGGCGGACUGGAGGCCAGUAGGGGGAUGCGGAAUUCCGGGUGUAGUGGUGGAAUGCGUAGAGAUCCGGAGGAACACCAGUGGCGAAGGCGGCUUCCUGGCCUGCUCUUGACGCUGAGGCGCGAAAGCUAGGGUAGCAAACGGG